GAACAAGUUUUGUAUAACACUGAGAUAAAAAUUGAUUAAAUAAAAAAGCAAAAAAAUCAAGUGUCUUCAAUAACAAUGUUAUAGCAAACUUGUAAACUCUACAAUAUUGUUCCGGAUCCAUCAUCAUCGCAAGACUUCCACUCACGUGAUUCGAACGUUUCAUUUUUUUACACUGACGAAAUACCCGUGCAAGCACAAUACUAU